UUAGCUCUCUUUGCCUUUUGGCUUAGAUCAAGUGUAGUAUCUGUUCUUUUCAGUUUAAUCUCUGAAACGAGUCUACGGACUCAUUCAAGAUUAUUCCUAUUUUUGUACCUGGGUCUCCUCUCACUGGGCUUGCUCAUAGUUGAGACCACAGUGUCGCUGGUCUUGCACUACCUCCAGCCGACGCGAACCUUU
rnacentral:snRNA from 1 species